UACGUAGGGUGCAAGCGUUAAUCGGAAUUACUGGGCGUAAAGCGUGCGCAGGCGGUUUUGUAAGUCUGUCGUGAAAUCCCCGGGCUCAACCUGGGAAUGGCGAUGGAGACUGCAAGGCUAGAGUUUGGCAGAGGGGGUAGAAUUCCACGUGUAGCAGUGAAAUGCGUAGAUAUGUGGAGGAACACCGAUGGCGAAGGCAGCCCCCUGGGUCAAAACUGACGCUCAUGCACGAAAGCGUGGGGAGCAAACAGG
rnacentral:rRNA from 1 species